GGCCAAGGCAGUCGCGCCUAUGUUUUUACAUAAGUGAGGAAAGUCCGGGCUCCAAAGGGUAGGGUGCCAGGUAACUCCUGGGAGGCGAAAGCCUACGGCUAGUGCAACAGAAAGUAUACCGCCUGACAUUGUUAGGUAAGGGUGAAAGGGUGCGGUAAGAGCGCACCGCGCAACUGGUAACAGUUGUGGCAAGGUAAACCCCACUUGGAGCAAGACCAAAUAGAGGAACAGUUUGCUUCGGCAGACAAAUGCGACCCGUAUUGUUCCUGGGUAGGUUGCUUGAGGCAAGUAGUGAUGCUUGUCCCAGAUGAAUGAUUGUCCACGACAGAACCCGGCUUAUCGGCCAUCUCAA
rnacentral:RNase_P_RNA from 1 species